rnacentral:rRNA from 1 species
UACGUAGGGGGCAAGCGUUAUCCGGAAUUACUGGGUGUAAAGGGAGAGUAGGCGGCAAGGUAAGCGAUAUGUGAAAGCCUUAAGCUUAACUUAAGGAUGGCAUAACGAACUAUCUAGCUAGAGUACAGGAGAGGAAAGCGGAAUUCCUAGUGUAGCGGCGAAAUGCGUAGAUAUUAGGGAGAACACCAGUGGCGAAGGCGGCUUUCUGGACUGAAACUGACGCUGAGGCUCGAAAGCGUGGGGAGCGAACAGG